GUUUGAUCCUGGCUCAGAACGAACGCUGGCGGCAUGGCUAAAACAUGCAAGUCGCACGCGAAAGGGGCUUCGGCUCCGAGUAGAGCGGCGGAAGGGUGAGGAAUACAUGGGUAACGUACCCCGGGCACAGGGAUAGCCGCGGGAAACUGCGGGUAAUACCUGAUGAGACCACAAUUGUCAUAUGACAAAGCGGUCAAUGGUUGGGGACCUUCGGGCCUAGCGGCCUGGGAGCGGCCCAUGUCCUAUCAGCUUGUUGGUGAGGUAAUGGCCCACCAAGGCAAUGACGGGUACCGGAACUGAGAGGUCGGCCCGGCACAUUGGGACUGAGACACUGCCCAGACUCCUACGGGAGGCUGCAGUAACGAAUAUUCCGCAAUGGGCGAAAGCCUGACGGAGCGAUGCCGCGUGUGGGAUGAAGCUCUUCGGAGUGUAAACCACUGUCAGGAGCCAGCACGCGACCGGGGCUAAUAUCCCCGGAAGCAGAGCAGCUCCAGAGGAAGCCACGGCUAACUUCGUGCCAGCAGCCGCGGUAAUACGAAGGUGGCAAGCGUUGUUCGGAAUCACUGGGCUUAAAGCGCACGCAGGCGGGUAAUCAAGCGUCUUGUGAAAGCCCUCGGCUUAAACGGGGAAUUGCUGGGCGAACUGAUUGUCUUGAGGCAAGUAGGGGCGAGUGGAACUCUUGGUGGAGCGGUGGAAUGCGUAGAUAUCAAGAGGAACGUCGGAGGCGAAGGCGACUCGCUGGGCUUGUCCUGACGCUGAGGUGCGAAAGCCAGGGGAGCAAACGGGAUUAGAUACCCCGGUAGUCCUGGCCCUAAACGAUGUCCACUAGGUUGAGGGGUUUUGACAACAUCUCGGCCGAAAUGAAAACGUUAAGUGGACCGCCUGGGGAGUACGGUCGCAAGGCUAAAACUCAAAGGAAUUGACGGGGGCUCACACAAGCGGUGGAGCAUGUUGCUUAAUUCGAUCAACGCGAAGAACCUUAUCCUGGGCUUGACAUACACGGAUGCCUACUGGGAAACCAGGUCGGCUGCCCUUCGGGGUGAAACGUGAACAGGUGCUGCAUGGCUGUCGUCAGCUCGUGUCGUGAGAUGUUGGGUUAAGUCCCGUAACGAGCGAAACCCUUGUCGCUAGUUGCCAGCGGGUAAAGCCGGGAACUCUAGCGAGACUGCCGGUGUUAAACCGGAGGAAGGUGGGGAUGACGUCAAGUCCUCAUGGCCUUUAUGCCCAGGGCUGCAAACGUGCUACAAUGGCCAGUACAAACCGAAGCUAAACCGCGAGGCGGAGCAAAUCGGAAAAGCUGGCCCCAGUUCGGAUUGGAGUCUGCAACCCGACUCCAUGAAGGUGGAAUCGCUAGUAAUCGCGCAUCAGCGCGGCGCGGUGAAUGUGUUCCUGAGCCUUGUACACACCGCCCGUCAAGUCAUGGAAGCCGGUAGCACCCGAAGCCGGGUCACUUCAGUCCUGUCUAAGGUGAGAUCGGUGACUGGGACUAAGUCGUAACAAGGUA
rnacentral:rRNA from 1 species